GAAGCUCCACGUUGCAUCCCCUGUUUCCGCCCGUCGUACACGCAGGAAGAUCAGUUCAAAAGGAAAACUACGUUAGUCCAACCUGUAAACCACGUCAGUUCAAGAAGGGUAACAGAAUAAUAAAGCGCUUAACGCUUCUGGUCGUACGUCGUUAGCAAUUUUGCAAAAACGUCCUUCUGUUUUCUGGUAACUAAACCCGCGGUCCCUUUUUAAGUGAAUAUCUGAAUCUGAAAAACGAUUCGUUUUUGCAUAAAGACCCUUGUCGUUCGGAGUAUUCAACCCGCAGUCCGAGCAGAUUUGUAAAGAAAAAAAAACACGACCACACAAUUAGCACGAGCUCGCCUCCUCCCUCUCUCGCCCACGAAGCCCUCGCCGCCGCCGCCACCCACGCCGGCCGCUUCCGGCGAGCUCCGCCGCCGCGCAGCACGCCAUCGAGUUCCCCAUGGUCCACGCAACCCUCCCCUCUCUCCAUAUUCUCCGCUCCCGGCCUCUGCCGCCCGCUCGCAACCCCACCCCCCGCGGCUAGGGUUUCGGGCAGGGCUUCGCCGGCGCGUCUCCGGCGGCCCCAGCUUGUGAAAUCAUCAUGUGUUCUAUCUUUUGCGCCUCUUGUGGUCUUACCAAUGGAGUUGGCUUUAGCUCUUGAAAAGAUGGUGAAUGAGAAGCUGCCCAACCCGCCCACUAUAAGUUUCUCCUUCAUGCCUAUUUACAAUAAAAUUACUUUAAAGGUAGCAACAAGGUGAAAAGAUCCUCAGCUGGGCAUCUUUAUUGAGAAUAAAUUUCUUUAGGAGCAAGGUUACUCAUGCAGUUUCAGAAGGAGAUUGUGGAUCAUGAGUUAACAUACCAGAUGGAAGAGUGAUGGGCCAACAUAUGGAAGUGCAGAUCGAAAAACCCGGGUUUGCAGGAUGCAACAAUUGGUGUUGCGAGCAAUAGCCAAAACCAUCACUCACAAGAAAUAUGAGAUCCUCAAGCAAGACUUGCAUGAUGCACAGAUUGUAAUUGCUUGGCAUCAACUAUUCGCAACUACUAACUCACCAUCAAAAUCAGAACUUGACAAGGUUUUGAACUAACUGAAGGCUGCUUGGAUGCUGAGAAAUUAAAAGAGUUUAAACUUGUGCAGAAGAGACAAAUCAGUCUUAAUGUGGCCAAGUUCAAAUUUGCUCUCCCGACACCUACUUCUGUGUUGGGCCUUCCAAUUGGCCAACAUAUAAGCUGCAGGUUUCAACACUUACUGGUCAUGUCUUGAUCUACAUUUCAGUUGAGUGGUCAUUGAGGAGCGAGUGAAAUACUCUUAUAAUUCUAUCGAUGUGUGUAUUGUGUAAACUGGCUGCACCAUUGCAGAGUCAUGGAUGCUACUCGGCCUUUUAGUAAAAACUGACGUGUAGAGUCUCCUUGGUUUAGGCUCUGAUGAUAGGUUUGGAUUUGCUUCUUAUUCUGAUGUAUAGAUAUCAACUGAAAAAAUAAAGAUCACAUGCUAAUGUGCAAAUCGGAGGCUUGAGCCACUGAGGAGCGUGUCCGCGUCACGAGUGUCGCCAUUCAUGGGAAGCACCAAGAUCUAACACUGAAUGUUGUUAGCUCGCUCCUUCACAAAUGAGUCUCUUAAGCUAUCGCUUAUCUCGCUUUGUUAGACAAACUGUUUAUGCGACAGGGAAGGCUUCUGGAAUGAUACAAUUGUUGUUCUAUUUUUGUCAACCCACUCUGCUUAAUCAUAUUGAUUAUUUUUUUCCCCGUUGCAAUGCACGGGCAUGUGGCAAGUAUAAACAUAGAUUUUUGUCCAAUC